rnacentral:rRNA from 1 species
CACGUAGUUAGCCGGGGCUUCUUGGUCAGGUACCGUCAUUUUCUUCCCUGCUGACAGAGCUUUACAUACCGAAAUACUUCUUCACUCACGCAGCGUCGCUGCAUCAGGGUUUCCCCCAUUGUGCAAUAUUCCCCACUGCUGCCUCCCGUAGGAGUUUGGGCCGUGUCUCAGUCCCAAUGUGGCCGUCCACCCUCUCAGGCCGGCUACUGAUCGUCGCCUUGGUGGGCCGUUACCCGCCAACAAGCUAAUCAGACGCGGGUCCAUCCCAUACCACCGGAGUUUUUCACACUGUACCAUGCAGUACCGUGCGCUUAUGCGGUAUUAGCACCUAUUUCUAAGUGUUAUCCCCCGGUAUGGGGCAGGUUACCCACGCGUUACUCACCCGUCCGCCACUAGGGUCCCAUUCCCUCCAUAUCAGUAAACUGAUGCUUCGUUCAUGGCACCCCGUUGACUUGCAUGUGUUAAGCACGCCGCCAGCGUUCAUCCUGAGCCAGGAUCAAACUC